CCUACGGGAGGCAGCAGUGGGGAAUAUUGCACAAUGGGGGAAACCCUGAUGCAGCGACGCCGCGUGAGUGAAGAAGUACUUCGUUAUGUAAAGCUCUAUCAACAGGGAAGAAAAUGACGGUACCUGAGUAAGAAGCCCCGGCUAACGACGUGCCAGAAGCCGCGGUAAUACGUAGGGGGCAAGCGUUAUACGGAUUUACUGGGGGUAAAGGGAGCGUAGACGGGAUAGUAAGUCAGUAGUGAAAGGCCGCGGCUCAACCCGCAGACUGCUCUUGAAACUGUCCGGCUGGAGUGCAGGAGAGGUAAGUGGAAUUCCUGGUGUAGCGGUGAAAUGCGUAGAUAUCACGCAGAACACCGAUUGCGAAGGCAGCUCACGAAUCCGCGAUUGACGCUGAUGCACGAAAGCGUGGGUAUCAAACAGGAUUAGAUACCCCUGUAGUC
rnacentral:rRNA from 1 species